rnacentral:rRNA from 1 species
CAAUAGCGUAUAUUAAAGUUGUUGCAGUUAAAAAGCUCGUAGUUGGAUUUCUGGUGGGAGCGAUCGGUCUGGCGCUUAGCGCGAGUACUUGCAUCGUCUCCGGCCAUCCUUGGGGAGAGUCUGUCUGGCAUUAGGUUGUCGGGCAGAGGAUCCUCAUCGUUUACUUGGAAAAAAUUAGAGUGUUCAAAGCAGGCUUAUGCCGUUGAAUAUAUUAGCAUGGAAUAAUAAGAUAGGACUUUGGUACUAUUUUGUUGGUUUGCGCACCAAAGUAAUGAUUAAUAGGGACAGUUGGGGGUAUUCGUAUUCCGUUGUCAGAGGUGAAAUUCUUGGAUUUACGGAAGACGAACUACUGCGAAAGCAUUUACCAAGGAUGUUUUCAUUAA